CCAAUAGCGUAUAUUAAAGUUGUUGCAGUUAAAAAGCUCGUAGUUGAAUUUCGGGGUUAGUAGGUUGGUCAUGCCUCUGGUAUGUACUGGUCUCACUGAUUCCUCCUUCCUGAUGAACCUUAAUGCCAUUAAUUUGGUGUUUUGGGGAAUUUGGACUGUUACUUUGAAAAAAUUAGAGUGUUUAAAGCAAGCUAACGCUUGAAUACAUUAGCAUGGAAUAAUGAAAUAGGACGUUCGAUCCUAUUUUGUUGGUUUCUAGGAUUGACGUAAUGAUUAAUAGGGAUAGUUGGGGGCAUUAGUAUUCAAUUGUCAGAGGUGAAAUUCUUGGAUUUAUUGAAGACUAACUACGGCGAAAGCAUUUGCCAAGGAUGUUUUCAUUAAUCAAGAACGAAAGUUAGGGGAUCGAAGACGAUCAGAUACCGUCGUAGUCUUAACCAUAAACUAUGCCGACUAGGGAUCGGAUGAUGUUAAUUUUUUAAUGACUCAUUCGGCGCCUUACG
rnacentral:rRNA from 1 species